GAUGAACGCUGGCGGCGUGCCUAACACAUGCAAGUCGAGCGAUUCUCUUCGGAGAAGAGCGGCGGACGGGUGAGUAACGCGUGGGUAACCUGCCCUGUACACACGGAUAACAUACCGAAAGGUAUGCUAAUACGAGAUAAUAUGCUUUUAUCGCAUGGUAGAAGUAUCAAAGCUUUUGCGGUACAGGAUGGACCCGCGUCUGGUUAGCUAGUUGGUAAGGUAACGGCUUACCAAGGCGACGAUCAGUAGCCGACCUGAGAGGGUGAUCGGCCACAUUGGAACUGAGACACGGUCCAAACUCCUACGGGAGGCAGCAGUGGGGAAUAUUGCACAAUGGGCGAAAGCCUGAUGCAGCAACGCCGCGUGAGCGAUGAAGGCCUUCGGGUCGUAAAGCUCUGUCCUCAAGGAAGAUAAUGACGGUACUUGAGGAGGAAGCCCCGGCUAACUACGUGCCAGCCGCCGCGGUAA
rnacentral:rRNA from 1 species